AGAGAAAGAGAGAGAGAACAAACAAAGAAAUGAACAAUGGGGUUCACGAAGAGAAGAGGUGAGAGAGAGUGAGAGACCCAGAGCCACACGGUGGACCAGAUGACGACAGUGUGUGUGCACAGCUGUGUGUGUGCAUGAGGACUGGCAGGUAGUGAGGUUGGGGGGGAGUGAGAGGACACACAGGUAGGUACAUGAUAAAACACCUCCAGCACGCGGACAAAGGGGCUGUAGCCAGAAGUGUCACCAUAAAGAGGAGUUUCCACAAUGAGAUAGGAUUCAGCCUCCAGUCAGAUCUGCCUUGUGCAUGUGUGGUUCCCCUAACUGACAGAAAACCCCUCAGCUGUUACCUUGCAGUCAAAAUGCUCAAUCACAACCUUGAAUCAUGUUAACGCUGUUAUGUUUUUUAAAUUUUUUUUUAGAUUAAACAGCAUCCUUCUCUCUCCCCUGUUCCCUCAUCCCUUUCUUCCUCACACAAGUGUGUCUUCAAAUUACAGUGAACCAGAGUAUAGAGUGAAAAACACGGACUAUAAUACUUUAUGAUGACACUGCGGCCUUUGUGGAAGUCGAACUGUGGAUAUGCCCGGAAUUUGGGGUGGCUUUGGAAUCUCCGUCUUUGUGGGUUGAAUGAAAUUAGAUGGAGAAAUGGAAGAGAGCACUGGGAAUGCUGGGUAAGGUGAAACCUAAGAGCCUGUCAGCUGCUCAGCGUUGCUUUUCUUUUAAAGCUUCACUACUAAUGAUUCGCGUUGCGUGCCAGGAAGUGGGCGACUGCAACAAAGGUAGUGCAAGCGGUUGUGGGAAAUGCAGUUCUAGCUUCUUUACACACCUGACUGCUGCCACUGAAAGAAGGUGUAAACUGAUGGUCGUUGCGUUGCCCUCCUAGAGCUGAUCUGUCAAUCCGCAGACAAACCACAAGCAGGAAAAAAAUACUUUUCUAAACGCCCUUCAGAAAAAGUGACAGUGUUGCAAACGCAAGCGGGUCCUUCAUAUGCAAGCAUGCUUUGGUCAAGGGUUUGUCCGGAUUACGUUUCUUUUUCUAAGCUUUACAAGACUGAAGGACCUUUGUUUCAAAACUAUAUAGUAACUAACAUGUCCAUAUUUAAUAUACAGUAAAGGGCAGCAGGUCUGUCGCCUUUAGGUAUCCAAUUUGAACUUGAAUGUUAAGUUAAAAUUAUACACACCACCUCGUUAAAACGAGUGCAUAGGAUCAUAUUUAGGAAAAGGGCUUUUGGUGGAGAUUAAAGACCAUAUGCUAAAGGCAAACCAGUUGUCAAUUUGCCCUGUACAGAAGCUCUAGGGGAUCAAAGGUUCUUUUGAAAUCUGAUCCAGAACUUCACCUUGCUUUUGUUCCCCGAAUUAGACUUGAUCUUUCAUCAGAAUAGGUCAGCGCUGGGGCUCUACAGAUAACGGUUAUGUGGUUUAGCAACACAGCUGUAGAAGCCUUUGUUCUUGCAGUUCACCUCCAACGUUUUCAAAGAUGUAGCUUAACAGCAGUCAAGUGGAUAAUUAAACAACUUCCUUGUUAUCAGAGGUGCCUGAGCAACAGAAAGAAAAAAAAGGCUUGUGCCUGCCAAAGCUGCUGUGGUGCAGAAUAUGUUGUCAUUUGCUGCUUUAGCAGAAUGAGAGAAGUUUUCCUAAUGGUUCUCAAUGUCUGCUCAGUUUACACAAGCCCUUUGGAACCAGGAACACACAGAGAUAUGUCUGCUUUUUGGGGAAAGACUGAAGAGUGUCACCACAUUCCUGAUUUAAGCAUUUCAGUUGAUUUGUUUCAGGCUUUUAAGAAGGUUUGAGAGGGAGGCCAUUAUAGUAUCAUUACAACACAGUCAGUGCUCAGACCAAUAUCUUUCAGAAUUACCUCUCAAGUCAAAACUGUUAUUACUAACCUCUAGCACAGACCUGAAGGGUGGGAAAUCUUGACAGACCACCCUGCAUUCCCCCAGAUUGAAGGCUAGAAAUUAAUACUUGAUAUUUCCUGCCUAGGGCCUACUGGUAACUGUAAUUCUGUCCCUAAACUGGUAAGUGGCUCACACAGAGGUGGAAUAGAUUUAGACAGUGUGGAAAUAAGCCACAUUUCUCCUCCGUAUGGUCAAUCUUUCCACAGCACUGGCUCACUUUAUAACUAAUAGUUUCAUCCAGUUUCCCCCAGUGUCCUUCAUCAAUUCAUUCCAGAUAAACACGGCAUGACGGCCCUCUCGCCACACCACACCGGCGAUGAGGACAAAGUGGUUUCUGAGGAACAGGCGCAGGCAGCCAGCUAUAGUAGUUUAUACACAGGAGUUUAUACGUGCGGCUGUGCGAAGAUGUCCAUUUCCUUUCAAUCUGCAUAGGUUAAAAGCUCCUAGAUGUGAAAUGACUACAAUCAAGGAACAGCCAUUCAUUACUGUGGCAAAUUGAACAAGCGCGAUGCCUCACACAGUGAAAAUAAAGUGGUCUAUGAAAUGGCCUUUGAAUAAAAAAAGACCAGGAGAAUUCCUGCGCUUUCCAUUAGUGGAAACUGUAGGUGUCUUUGAAAACUGACUCUUGUAAACGAAAGAUGGAGUGAAAGCAAAGGAACCGUGUUCUGUAAUAACUUUUUUACUUAAUAUCUGUAAUAAUAAGGAGGCUGAUGAGAUAUUCAACAGAAAUGUAGCAUUUACACAACAUGAACAAAACCUUUGCAGCUAGUGUAAGACAAGUACAGGACGACUUCAUGAAAAGGUUAACAUUCUUGAUAGAACACUUUUUAUUCUUAAGUUUUAGGUUCUGCGCUAUUUAAACAGAAAGGUCACUGUAGCUUUGCAAGAUUAAUUUUAACUAUACUAUUUAACUAUAUUAACAAACUUUAUUCUGAGCCAAUAAAUAUCAAUCAACAUUGUCAUACUGAUUCCUUACAUGCUUUAAUGCUUUUCUGACCCAGGGAUCCCACAGAACUAAAUUCUCAAUGAUGUAUUCUUUGGAAUAAAAGCUUGGCAUUCAUGCCAUUCCUGUUGUCUACACACUGAUUCUGAAUUAAGUGAGCUAAGCGCUCAGUGACACUGCAGAUGGCUUCUUCACCCUUGCUGGCCAAGAAAAGGUUAAAUCACUGUUACUACCUGUUCUCCUUAUUGCAGUGCAGCUGGAACAGCACAGCAGCAGCCGCCUGCUUUCAGAAAGGGAUCGUACAUCAUUCUGUACAAAUUAAUCACCUAAAACUUGUGUAACCAGUCAGUCAGCAUCAGCUUCCAAUGCCUCACUGCUCUUCCUACAGAAGCAAGGAACAAAGAAAUCACAGGCGCUAAUAUUUCUGCAGGACUCAAACAAGCCAAUUAAGCUUCCCUUAAUGUGUUCCUAUCGGGAUGCUGUGCUUGUGUGACAUGAAGCCAGGAAAUGGGAAUAUUCACAUGGACAAGAAUUUCUUCAGUGCUGUAAACGUCCAGCGCUGUUCUUUCAGCUGCAGUGCCCAUCUACACAAGAUCUGAACCACAGAGGAUCCUUAUCCUGGCUUUCGUGCUGGUAAGUGGAUGUGUGAACAUGUGACUUCCCCCUGGACAGGGGGCUGGUCCACCUCCAGCUUCACCCCCCGAGCAGUGCUGGUCCCCACUUCCACAGCUGGGUGGACUGGAGCACAGGAGUAGAGUAUCUCACUCAUGGUUCAAAGGGAUUUGAGCCCACAACCCCCCAGGUUCUGACAUCCCCACAACAUGGGGACUGCUAGUGAUCCAGCUAAGAGGGGGUCAGGACCCUGUCAUCUGCUGCUCUGGUCAGGAUUAUCCAAACGAGAGGCACAGCGGCCGAAGCCUUUCCGGUCUUUCAAGGCUAAUGGCAUCACCUGGGUCCCGUGGGGCGCCCACGAGCUUCUAGAGCCGUCGGGGACAGGAGGACUGCCUCCUCCCGGCCGCACUCUCUUCCUCGCUCUUCUGGGCAGUGAGCCUCGUCUCUGCAGUGAGUUAACCGAAACUGUCUUUCUUUUCUACAAUUGCCCACCCUUUGCCAAAAUAUCUUCAUCCUUUUAGAAUCUGUGACAUGGGAAGUGUUGGGUGCCCUGGCCUCCGGACCGAAAUUAAAAAAAAAACAACACAUUCCAACUGGAAAUUCAACACUUUUUCACAGCACAAGUGAAACAAAAAAGCCUAUAUUCUUUAAAGGAGGUAUCUCAAAUUUUACUAAUGGAGACAUUGCCGGAUGGCUGAGACUUUAUUGUCCCCAAUGCAGAACUGUGGCUGUAUCCUUUUGUGACCUCACCUCUCCCUGAUUGGUGGAGUCAACUCAGCUGUAUAAAAUGGUAUUCGAAGUUUGCAGGGCUUUAACACUACACUAUAGUGGUGUCCCAUUCACAGGGAGUCAUGCUCUCAGAUCUCUUAAAUCUAAGAGAAUCCAGGUAUCAGAACUCCAUAAAUACAGUUGCUAUAAGAGUAAUCACUCUUGGUUAUAUAGUACAUAUGCCACCUAAAUUUCUCAAUUCAAGCAUGUAAAGGCAGACAGGUAGAUGGCUGACAUUUAAUUAAGGGAUCCAACAUGGCUUAAAUCUGCAAAUAGAAAAUAUGAGUGAGAUCUGUGAAACACUAGACUAACAGAAGCCUCACACUGUUUUUUCUUGGUGUACCACAGAGUGACAAAGCUCUAGCCAGGGUAGAAAUAGGAAGACUAACACAUCCAUUAGCAUUCAGCAGUGGCUGCUUGAAAACCUGACUCUGCAUCACUGAUUUCCAUGGGUAGCAAAGCACAAAUUGACGCGCAGAUGUUUUCUGGAGGAAAAUAAAAUAUAGCCACUCAUCUCGCGUAGGAACUGCAACAUCAAAUGGGCAGAUGUGCCCCUAUGCCUGGCUGAGCCCCCCGAGCUCGUCAGUGUGCCCCAGCUGUCAGACACUGCCAAGCCUUCACCUCUCCCGGGCUCAGACUCCUCUUCCUGGGGGAGUUACUCCGCGUCGCACCCUGUGAGGAAGUGUCUUUGAACUUACUCUCCCCAGUCACCCAGAACAUCUGCCCCCUUGUCGCAAGAGCUGAACCAGUAAACUCAAGGCCGCUGUUUAUUUUUUCCAGUUUAUAAAACCUUUUAUACAAGUUCGCUGCGUAUUCCCUGAAUAUAUGCUAAAUGUCAGGAAACAAAGGCUGUAUUUCCAUUUCUUUGUGUCGAAUACGAACCCUGCUGGUUCCAGGCCCCCGACUGACCUGCAGUAGAAGGCACGGGGGGUCGAACAGUUUAGAACGACCCUGCUAGAGGAGGCUGUGGGAGCUCCAUCACCAGCUGCCGAGAGUCCAGGAGCUGCUCAGACUCCAUGAUGGAAAUGAGAGAGGGAUCAAAAUGAUGAACACUGAGUAAGCACUGGUCAUGGCUCAUGUUUCUACUAAGCUGGGCAGGGAAAAGAGUUCAAUCUUCCCUCAUUAUUUCUGCUAUAAACUGCAUUGAUCGAUGUGUACCAGAUAGCUACAAUGUAUGUAUAUGUAGCUAUAGUCCCUCAAUUCAAGUCAUUACAAACAUUAUAUUGGGAAAACUGCACAGAGCCAGAUCUUAUUCAGACUGUAAUCCACCAAACUGACCUAAUGAAGAUUUGAAAAUACACUGUUUGAAUAUCCUCUACCAGAAAUAAGUUAAUAUUUAUGUCCAGGGCGUGGACUGAAAGUGCUGUCAUACGUUUUGAUCAUUUAAGCGCUACCUGAAAUUACUCAUUGGAAAGCUACUUCCUGUUUCCCCAUAAUGGAUCAGAAAUGUCCAAAAACACUCCAAACUGUGGACUUAAGGAAAGAAUUAAUAAGACUAUAACCUCCAAAUAGAACUGAAUGAGUUAAAAGCGAGGAAACAUUUAAAAAAGUGUUCUUUUAUGGCUAAUGGGAUGGCGAUGGGAAUAAGAAAGCUUUCUCACUGUGAAUAAAAGAGAAAUAUUUCAGGAUUUUGCCCUCGGUAUCUUCGCACCAUUUGUUUAAUCGAUCAGCUAUCCCACGAGCUCCUCUCGUUUAGGGCCAUGCAACUACUCCAACCGCCAAGUCGGUCUCGAACGCUUCUGGCUGUAUUAAUGCCAGUUGGAUAAUGUCUUUCGUUGAAGCACUUUUUAAAGCCCCUCUGCAUCCAAGGGGCGGGUGGCUGUUGAAGUCCAACCGCGCUGUUUUGGCCUUCCAUGGAAAAUGAAUCAAAGUGCUUUCCACAUUAUCUGCUGGGACCAUCCGUCUGCAAUUUAGACCCCUACACGUGUGGACAUGGCUGCAACGGUAAUAAUAAAGGCAGGGAAACAGAUGAUUAACUUGCUGCCUGCUGUAUCUACUAUCAGGUUGUCAACAUGAGUCCUUUACAACCAGGGAAAGACACGCACGCUUGAGAGGAAAACUUGGAAAUAGAAACGUCUGUUAUUACCCAGAUUUCAACCUUAGCUAAGUCAUUUUGAAAUAUCUUUUUUUUUUCACUCUAGAGCGUGCAGUUUUAUAAAAUAAGGAAAGCGUAAGAAGAAUUAAAACGUGUAAAACAAAUCAAACAUUAUCCUCGCUGUUGACAGACGCUUCCAAAACUCUGGUGAAGAUCUGGAUUAAGAAUGCUGUGCACAGCUAAAGUAAUAAAUAGGCAACUACACCACAAAGAAAAGGGACAUUUUAUUUAACCAAAACACUACACGCACUUGUGCUAGAAUACUUUACCUGCAAGGUGAUAAAACAGUCAGAAAACUCACAUCUCUAGAUGCAGUCAAGCAGGAAUUAUGUGGCCAGCUGUUUUCGUUCCAGACUAUCCUGGUCUUUCAGCCAAAGAGUAAUUUGCAUAAUAAUGAAAAAUAAAUGAGUACAAUGAUUUAGAAAAACCAACGUACAGUCAGAAUGCAUGUUCGUGGUAAAAUUUAAAAGCUUUCCAUAUCCUGUUUUAUAAGUCCAACAUUUAAAAUGAACUAUUUUGGAGAACAAAGGCUGUUAAUUUGAUUUACUCUCUUUCACGCCUAUUAGACUUACAAGACACCUUACUAAACUGGCACCUUUAAUCCAUUCACCUGCCCAUUAUCAGUUAUUUCUCCACAGUGAAGGCUGUAGCAAUCCAGAGAAAACAUACUUCUGGAAAAAGUAAGUCAAAAUCAAAGUUUACACAGAAGAAAAAUGCUAAAACCUGAGAUCUCUUUAAAUCGUGUUUGGUGAGACUUCUUUGUAGACAUUAUUUUUACAGCUAAAACACGCUGUUCAAGCUCAACAACUAAAUCUGCACUAAUAAAGGCAUUUUGUUUAACUGCUAUUUUCCACCUUUACUGUAUGUACAUGUACUGUACAUGUUAAAUCGCCUGUCUAUUAGGUCUGCACAUUCUGCACAAAACUCCCAAUGAAAAGUUCUUUUAAAAAAAGCAAAAGCCUUUUUGGUCAUGUGACAAAUAAAGGAAAGCUCUGGAUGAGAGAGCCCACAAGCUUUUCUGUGGGUAAUAGCUGUCUUGGAGCCAUUAUUAAGCAAUAUAGUUUAAUAGACAGAGUCAUGUUCAGAGCCCUCAUGACCAGGGGCUAUGGUAGUUUUCAGAGUUUGAUUUCAAAAUUGCUUUCUUGAGGUGUUUCAGUUUUCCCAAAACUAAAACAUGCUGUACCAUGACAGAUUCUACAAUCAUAAAUCUCUUAGCGUUCUUAAUUCUUACCACCAUAUGUCUACAAUUCUGGCACUUGCGCUAUAUCCACUGAUGAUCAAUUAUCCCUCACUCAAUCAGAAGCUGGCAUCACAUCCUCACAAGCGACACACACAGGACCAUUCCCAGAUAACGCUCAGGGGAAAUUCAGCGUGGUACUAUGUUCUGAAAGAGCAAGCACCCCCCCCUUUUUAAAUUAAACAUGGGAUUGCCAUGUUAAUUUGUUUAUGUUUUUUUAUUUUUUUAAGACUUGGCUCAUGGCUUUAUUCCUUACUGGAGAAAAACAUGAAUGCUAAUUUCAAUGGUUAGAUGUGUUGACCUGCAGAAACUCUAUACAAGGUCAGGAUACAGUAGACUGCAGGUUCUGAGCAUCACAAGCUUUUUAAUCACUUCUGACUCAACCUUGACACUAUAAAACAUCAGCCUGAUGUGAGCAUGGUUGUUUUUUUAACAAACUGGGUAAAAAAAACUAGAUGGAAUUGUAUAUCAAAGGUGUCUGUCUGACAGAAGUGGUGGCAAUUUCUUUACUUUUUAUAAAAAAUCCAAUCUGGAGUCGUAGUACUGCAGCACAAUGCGAUUUGGUGAGCGGAAGAAAUUCCAUUUCUGCUUACAUUCAUUUUUUUCUCCAACAUUUUAAUUAACUUUGCCAAGGAAACAGACACAGACUGGUUGAUGAGAGGCUACUGGUAGUGAGGUACGCCCAAGGAAUGCUUGUAUUCAUUUGGUACUUUUCUGGGGUGCACGUUUCUCAAGGAUACAACCACAGUGCCUAACCUCCAGUUAGGAGUCCAAAGCCUUCAUCAUCUGCUGCAGUAUAUAUACCCUGCCGUGUUGUUAAACCCGAUAUCCUGACUGUAUUCAAGUAACAACUGGAUAAGAAUCUUGGACCAAUUAGCUACUAACUACCAAACAGUCUACAUGGGCCAAUUGGCCUAGUCUCCUCUGUAACCCUUCUUAUAUAUGUUCUUAUAUAAAGGAACUAACAAUGAGAAAAAUUUCAAUGUAUAUCAGCUAAUCCAUCAAUGAGAGCCAAGAAAUCAAAUGCUGGUGAGAAAAUGAAAGAACUGUGCUAUCAUGUAAGAUACACCUUCUAAAUUCUGAGUUUCAGCAGUAAAGAGAUGCUGUUUGUAUGAAGCAACUCCUCUUAAACACCUUAAAAUGUGUAGCUUUGCUGCUUUCAAUGUUUACAGAACCUAUCAAAGUGUAUCCUUUCACUGCUCCAACUCUGUCAAUCCAUCUCUUCCUUUGCCUGUCCAUCUAUAAAACUGCUCGGAGUUACGAACAAAAGCCUUCUUGGAAAGAGGCUCUCAGACCUGUUCUUAUGAUGCAUGUCAGCUGAAUUGUACUUCUGUUCGCUGUGUUAGGCAGAUCACAGCUCAGUGACCAUUAAUCUUACACCAGCAGAGAACUGACACAGGCCUGUGCAGAAGACCCUGAUGUUGACAGGCUCAUAAAGCACAGUAAAUAAAUCCAGCUCUAACCUGCUGGGCAUCCUUAUCACUGCAGCAAUCCGAAUGAGAACAAACUUAAGAACAUAAUAAGAGGUUGCAAACGAAAGGUGGCCGAUCGGGCCAUCUAGCAUGAUUGGUUUCUACUAGCUGAAGGUGAAAAUUGUUUUAACAAGCACAGGCCACACUCCAGCAUAGUGCCCAGGCUGUCAGCUGUAAUUACUGUUUGUUUUUGCAAAUAAAGUUCCAUUCAGAAGGCAGAAGACAUUCAGUCUUUAUUGUCAGUUCGGAGGAAGGGAAGGGAAACAGUUUUACCAGGAUGCUUGUUAACACCACAUGAGACUAAACAGCACAAGGCCAAGGUCUUUCCAGAAGCUGUGCUUUGUGCCUCAGAGUCACACGCGUACUCCGGUCUCUGGGAGGACCUGGGAAAGAUGCAAGAUGCAUGCUGAGAGAAAGAUGAUGUAAGUCCGUAAGAAACAGAAUUGUUUUUCAUUUGAAUGGCUUUUCACAAUUAGCCAGAGCUUUUUUGGUGGUAGGAAAACACUAGAGCACUACAUAAAAAAACAAAAAAACAAAAAGCUAUGUAAUACAGUAUGUCCCCAUUAAAUCAGGCAGAGAGUUGUGGACAAACUCUGUCCACAGAGGCGAAUCUAUUUGUUUAGACAACCCAAAACAAAACAGGCAAAGAAACCAGAACUGCAGUGAAAUAAAACAAACAAACGUGAGGGCCGCCCUGGAUUUGAGCCUUAGCGAGCAGAGUAGACUGUAAACUCAAACUGGAGGUUUCUCUUGGCCACUUGAAUUGUCCUUCCACAUCCUCCACACUCCAAGAGAGAAAGCAGAGGUAAGAUGAAGUCAUUUGUGUGCUUGAACCAGUUGCCGUGUUAUUUUUUAAAGAGCAGACUCAUGGUUUCAAAAGCACACUGGCAUCACUCCCUGACAGGUGGGCUGACAACCCCAAGACAUCCAGCUCACAGGCGGCACCAGCUGUGCACUCAGCCCACAUGGCCACACGUACUACAGUCGAUUUCAAGAGAUCACCUCUGCAGCGAAAAAGGGAGGCAGCUGUUACUAGUGUAAAGGCUGAGAGAAGAAAUGCUGCAAGGGUCAAACCAUAAGCCUUGAUUCAGACGUGGUGUUUAAUUAAAACACAGGGGAUUCGGCUUGAAAGGCAGAAACAAAAGAUAAACCGCUACAAAAAAUGGAGCUGACGAACUGAGAGGCACUCUGAAAAUAAGAUCCCAGCUGGGAAGCAAGGGCUCCAGAUACCACAGCUGAGUCACGUGAUCGCAGCACACCUUAAUACACCAGACCAGGUCUUCAGAUCGUAGCUCUAAACCUACAUGAUGAUGGUUGUGCCCGAUUCCAAACCCAUUUUUUUAGUGCCCUCAUAAUUUGAUUUUGUGCUCUGCAGGUAUGUAGAUUUGCAAAUUCAUAUUACUUAUGCUUAACUGCAGUCAUGAGUUGCUGUAAUUGAGUCUUCCGUCUGCCAGACAUUGUUAUGCAACAUCACGCUUGGCUUGCCAGUUUCUUCAGCCCAGGUCUGUCAUUAGAAUGCCCAGUUAGCUGGAGUUGGAGAAGUAGAGCAACAACAAAUUUCUCACAUGUGCUGCUUUAAUCCCAGUUUGACACAUAGAGGCCAGUGGGCUUUUAUCUCGGCACAACCCAGACUCACACCCCCCCCCACAGCUCCUGAACUCUACCUGACCCCCCUGACCCCUGCCAGCAUGAUGGGAUACGCUGUCAAGAAAAUGCAGGAAGCUGCAGAAUGAGAAAUCCAUUCAAACUGAGAAUUUAAAUGGACAUAUAUUUGGGACAGAAAUUGGGAUUUAUUUUACACAUCAGGUUGUAGGACAUUGGAAUAAGAUGCUAAUAAGAAACAUUCUCGAUUCAGAUUCCUUCAGACCCUUUAAGAGGAAACGGGAAGAAACCAACUGACUGAAUAAACUACUCUUAUUUGUUUUGAUCUGACUGAUUUUCCAUUCAGAAAGAGCCAAGUUCGUGCACAAAUCUUGGAUUUGUGACGAACCAUGAAUUCAUCAUCUUGUACAGUAUUUUUCCCUAAAAGUGGAAGAAACUAAACAACUAGAAACCUAUGGUAGGGAAAAUUCAAAACUUAAACUAAGCACUUAGCUGCUACCACUCCCAAACUAUGCAGUUAUAGGGUCACAAUCUAAUAUUAACAACUAUCAUAAUGAACCCGUUACAUUUACUGCACAUAGACUUUUGAAUUAAAAUUCACCCUGACACCACAGAAGAGUCUUAAUUUGAAAACCACAACUUAUUUGAAAUUAGUUCCCAAUUUGAGAACCAAAAGUAAUUUGAAAUUAGCUCCUAAUUUGAAAACCACAACUAAUUUUAAACAGAACAACACAACCUUCAGCCAUAAAAACUGCAAUAAUAUUAAAACAAAUAAGGAGACACUUCUGUACCAUGGACUGUUUUACGAUGAAGCCUGAAAGGAACUGAAUAAUUUGUUUAGCUUUCAGAUCUAAGGAAGUUGCCUGAGCUUGAGAAAGACAGGGGGGAGAUCGAGAGAGGGCCCAGACUUAGAGAAAUUAGUUUAACACACCACCCUCAUGACAGUGCAAUUAAAUCCUUGUAGGCUGAUGCCCUGGUUCCUGUUUGUUGAUGUCCUGUACUCAAUCACUAAGCAUGCUCUUGUACUGCAUGUGGAAACACAGCCAGAGCUCCUGGAUGUGCAGUAUGGAUUCUAGCCUACUAUGACGCUUCCUCGCUGAAGGCACUCUCUACACUGAUGCCAGGGACACACCAGGAAAUAGUUGGGUGUCUCAUUGUCCACAAGCUGGACGAAAGCUGGCAGAGCUUGAAAAUAUUUACCAGAAAAACCAGCUACAUACACAACAUCUUUGAUGCUUUUAAUGUCCAUGCCCAGUGACUGUGAAGCUAAAAAUUGCUGCUUUGAUCUGACCAGCCAAAAUAGCUGUUACUCAACGUCAAAAUUUAAAUUUUGUUUUUAGUUACAAACAGGACAAAAUAUCUUGUUUACUCAAAGCUGGUCUUCCUCAUUAUUCUAGUCCUUUCUACCUCAGGAAAUUCAGCACCUAAAGUUAGGUACUCGUAGCAUCGGGAUGCUUGUUCAAGGGAAAACAAUUCCCUGGUGCAAAAGUGCUAUCACUCAUUCCUCUUGUAUCUACUGGGAGUUUCUGAAACACUGUACUAGUGUAAUUACCUUGUACAGAUUACAAUGGGCAGUACAUUUAACAGCUAAAUAAUAGAAAAACCAUUAGAUACGCAUGCCACAGUUAAGGUUUACUCUCAUUUUGUCAUAAAUUAGUUCAGGGAACAUUGCACUUAUGAUCCUUGCAAUGCAAUCAAAUGCACACACAAUUGCACAGCAUAUAUAUAUAUAUGCACAUAUAUAUAUGCCAACUAAAGGCAAAAUAGCUAAAUUGCAUGUUAUACAGAGCACACACAUAUAAGUUAAUCAUAUGUAUGUACAGAGUAUAAAUGUAUACACACUGUAACACCACUGAGAAUCGGCUAAAAGAUAUUCCACAGGCAUUCCGAUAGACGCAUGGCUAGUCUUUAGUUUUAAAUCUUUUUUUUAAUUAUUACUUCUUAAAAUAUUGAAUCAGCAAUUAUUCAAUUAUAUCUGGCAUUGUUACUGCUGUCAUUUGUGAAUGAAGCUAGGGAAACUACAGAUCUUCAGAUGGAUGCUUAAGACAUAGUGUAGCUGAGCUUCAAAUUCAGGCUGAAGCUUUCAAAACAGAAGUGCCAAACAUGAGCCUUAACUCUACAGAAUCUCAGUAAAUUUACCAUCUAACCAGGUUAGUAAGGGGAAAUUCUACAAACUGGCUAUCAAACAGUCAUUCCCAAAGCUCCUGGGUAUAUUUUGCUUUUCUUGUGCCAUUUUUCACAGAAGAGCUCAUUAUUCUUCCAACGCAUUUCUGACUGAUGAUACAAUGUAGAAUAUGAGUUUCUUUUUUAUUGUGUGUAAGUACGUAUCCAUUUUGGUUUUUCGUAAAAUUAAUCUCUUUGUAAAUCUAGCGAACCGCACAGGUUUUACAUCAGUUCAUUAAGAGACAUGUCUCGUGCUGGGCUUUGUAGGCUUCUAGUUUGCUGAUCCUAAAGGAUCCUGAGAACACAGCACACAAAGUAAAACACUGGGGAAGCUAACAGGACAAAAAUGUACUAAUUUCACAAACAAUCUUGAAACUCCAAAUGCUGGGCAUAUUUUAAGUACAGCAGAAGGACAAACAUACCAUCUUCAUCACCUUCAACCUUUAUUAAUCCACUGCUGCAUGAAAACCCCUUCAUAAAUCCUUCAUGAACUUCUGUCUUUGGACGACUUCAAACUCUUCUGCAAACUUGUUGACCUCAUCUUGUCAUCUAAAAGGAGAUCUUUCCCUUGGUCAUUUAUAUUUGGAACCAUUCCAAUAUGUCAUUGUUCCAAUUAUCCAAUUCUUCAGCUACAUGUCCAGCUUCACUCCUAUAAUCAUGCCACCCUUUGUGCUAUAAACCAUCCAUUUCUUUCUCUGCCUCAUCAUCUCCUUCUCAGCUUCUUUGGGUUCUCUGUAAUUUCUGCCACAUUACAGCGUUCAGGAGCAAGGAUUCGCAAACAUUCAAAGGUCGAAGAUUUUCCUUUCCAGGCACAAAAGCCGCUUCAAUUUUAGAAUCACUUUAGAAGCUAACAUUCACUUUUCAUUUCAAGUGUCAGGAUUUCAGCUGAUGACAUGAACUGGCCCAAACACACAUUGCUGUGGGCCUCUUCACUUUUGACAACAGAUAUUUUGUUUUUGAAAUUACAAUAAUCUUAGAAAAACAGCUUUCUGAAUGUUUUUUCUUAUCGGCAAAGAGCUACUGGUGUUGGUUCUCACACAUAUUAGAAGAAACAAACACGAUAAAUUCUUGCCAACAACUACAUCCAAUGCUUUCAUAGUUACAUUCUGUUGCAAAUCAAGCAGCCAUGUGUCUAUCAGAAGUCCACCUCAUCUACCAAUCACAGUGCACUGCGCUGCUGCAUAGGUGCUGGGCUGUAAGGGAGGGGGUUUGUGUGAAAUGAAGGGGUAACAGGAAGCUGUGUCUGGGGCAGAAGCAGUGUGCAUGUGCGUGUGUGGCGAAGGGGUUUAGGAGAGGGGUGAAACAGGUCAAAG